GACGUAGGGUGCGAGCGUUGUCCGGAUUUAUUGGGCGUAAAGAGCUCGUAGGCGGCUCGUCGCGUCGACCGUGAAAACCCGCGGCUUAACUGCGGGCUUGCGGUUGAUACGGGCGGGCUAGAGUUCGGUAGGGGAGACUGGAAUUCCUGGUGUAGCGGUGGAAUGCGCAGAUAUCAGGAGGAACACCGAUGGCGAAGGCAGAUCUCUGGGCCGUAACUGACGCUGAGGAGCGAAAGCGUGGGGAGCGAACAGG
rnacentral:rRNA from 1 species